UACCGGCGGCUCGAGUGGUGGCCGCUUUUAUUGGGCUUAAAGCGUUCGUAGCUGGGUCGUUAAGUCUCUUGGGAAAUCUGGCAGCUCAACUGUCAGGCGUCUAAGGGAUACUGGCGAUCUUGGAACCGGGAGAGGUGAGGGGUACUUCGGGGGUAGGAGUGAAAUCCUGUAAUCCUCGAGGGACCACCUGUGGCGAAGGCGCCUCACCAGAACGGCUUCGACAGUGAGGGACGAAAGCUGGGGGAGCAAACCGGAUUAGAUACCCUGGUAGUCCCUGAGCGGGCU
rnacentral:rRNA from 1 species